UCUCUAAAAAUAAGCAAAAUCUUUUAAAAAAAUGGCAUAUGCUUUUUAUGAAGAGUAUAAGGUCUGUGUCUAGAUUCACUUUUUGGCAUGUGGAUGUCCAGCUGUUCCAGCACCAUUUGUUGAAGAGACUGUAUCUGCUUCGCUGCAUUGCCUUUGCUCCUUUGUCAAAGGUCAGUUGAGUGUAUUUAUAUGGGCCUAUUUCUGAGCUCUCUCUUCUGCUCCACUGAUCCAUUUAUCUAUUCUCUUGCCAACACCACACUGUCAUGAUUACUGUAGCCUCAUAGUAAGUUUUGAAGUCCGGUAGUAUCAGUCUCCCAAGUUUAUUCUUCUUCUUCAAUGUUUUGUUGACUAUUCUGGGUCUUCUGUUUCUCUACAGAAACUUUAGAAUCAGUUUGUUUACAUCCAUAAAAUAAGUUGCUGGGAUUUUGAUUGGGAUUGCAUUGAGUCCAUAGAGCAAAUUGGGAAGAACUGACGUCUUGACAAUAUUGAAUCUUCCUAUCCACGAAUAAAGGAAUGUCUCUAUUUAUUUAGGUCUUUGGUGAUUCAUUUCAGAGUUUUGCUUUUAA